GAGAUGGAGCAAGCUCAGCGAUCGAGGUGUGGGCCGCGCAGCGCGGAAUGGAAGCGCGGGGAGUGCUCGGCGGAGGCCCGGGGUGCAGCGGGAUCGCCGGCUGAGGCCCGGGGAGGUUUAUUCACCCCGAGUCCAGGGUUUCAAGAGAGUAUGAGGUCUGUUGUCUGCCUCUGCCCAGUUACUUGGAGCAUUCCACCUAGCAGGGACCCAUUGUUACCUAUUGAAGGAAGACAUUGGCCACCUGCCAGAGGCCUUCUCAGCAGGAAGGAGCUGGAGACCUCUAUCUGGCCACGUAGGGUAACCAAAUGGCAAACUGGAGGAUUCAAAAAAGGAGGAAAUAUCUGCGGUUGGCACACAGACAGGAAAAAGCACACUUUGCUAAACCUGCUGUGACUUGGGGUGGCAUUUCAGGAGGGCAGCUUACAAUGU
rnacentral:lncRNA from 1 species